CAGUAGCCGCGGUAAUACGUAGGGUGCGAGCGUUAAUCGGAAUUACUGGGCGUAAAGCGUGCGCAGGCGGUUUUGUAAGACAGAGGUGAAAUCCCCGGGCUCAACCUGGGAACUGCCUUUGUGACUGCAAGGCUAGAGUACGGCAGAGGGGGAUGGAAUUCCGCGUGUAGCAGUGAAAUGCGUAGAUAUGCGGAGGAACACCGAUGGCGAAGGCAAUCCACUGGGCCUGUACUGACGCUCAUGCACGAAAGCGUGGGGAGCAAACAGGAUUAGAUACCCCUGUAGUCCCUGUCUCUUAUAC
rnacentral:rRNA from 1 species